AACAGCAGGGGUUUUUGUGAGUGGUCCUUCUGGGAACAAUGACACUGAAGCGCACGUGCACAAGACGACUCCAUUUUUUUCUUUCAGUGUUUGAACGAAUACAUCGUCACCCGGUUGGAAUAUUAUCGCUAUUUUACGAGAAAAAUAGCAUAAACAUUUAUUUUAAACAGCAUUUGACAUGCUUCGAAGUACGGUAAUGGAAUAUUUUGAAAUUUUUUGUCACGAAAUGUGCCGGCCUGUCACCCUUCGGAUAGUGACUUGAACGCACAAACAAAACGGAGCUAUUUGGAUAUAACUAUGGAUUAUUUCGAACCAAAACAACAUUUGUUGUUGAAGUAGAAGUCCUGGGAGUGCAUUCUUACGAAGAACAGCAAAGGGACAAAAGUUGGCAUCUGAUCACGUUUCACUCCAUUGCAUUGGCUUGGUAGGAGAAAACCAACCUGCCCGACUCGUUUGGAGUGCAGAGCAAAUUAGAAGUAUCCACUUGGGAUAACAUUUUCCAGAAGAAUAAGGAAUAAUAAUACUGCCUCAGAAAUUAUGGAAGCAGCAGAAGAUUACACCAUCUUCCAGAUGAUCGAGGAACAGGGUCAUCUACUCCACCAACACCACAAACAGUUGGCUCUUCUGUGUAUGACCAUGAAGGAGGUCUUCCGCAUUCUCCACCGCCUCGACACCGCUAGCGAUGUUCUCCAUACCUCUAACAGACGGCCUCCUCCUACGGGUUGUCAGAGUGAGCCAGUCCCCAGCCUACCCAGCCAUCUGCCCAGGUCAGCAAUGCCCGAUUGUCCCUUCCGGAGAAAUAUGACG
rnacentral:lncRNA from 1 species